GACGAACGCUGGCGGUGUGCUUAACACAUGCAAGUCGAACGGUAAGGCCCUUUCGGGGGUACACGAGUGGCGAACGGGUGAGAAACACGUGAGUAACCUGCCCUCAUCUCUGGGAUAACAGUCGGAAACGGUUGCUAAUACUGGAUAUGAGCUUGCAAGGCAUCUUGUGGGUUGGAAAGAUUUUUUUGGUUGGGGAUGGACUCGCGGCCUUUCAGCUUGUUGUUGAGGUAGUGGCUCACCAAGGCUUCGACGGGUAGCCGGCCUGAGAGGGCGACCGGCCACAUUGGGACUGAGAUACGGCCCAAACUCCUACGGGAGGCAGCAGUGGGGAAUAUUGCACAAUGGACGGAAGUCUGAUGCAGCAACGCCGCGUGCGGGAUGACGGCCUUCGGGUUGUAAACCGCUUUCAAUUGUGACGAAGCUUUUUGUGACGGUAGCAGUAGAAGAAGCACCGGCUAACUACGUG
rnacentral:rRNA from 1 species